rnacentral:misc_RNA from 1 species
UACGGAGGAUCCAAGCGUUAUCCGGAAUCACUGGGCUUAAAGGGUCCGUAGGCGGGACAAUAAGUCAGUGGUGAAAGCCUGCAGCUUAACUGUAGGACUGCCUUUGAUACUGGUGUGCUUGAGUAAUUAUGAAGUGGUUAGAAUAUGUAGUGUAGCGGUGAAAUGCAUAGAUAUUACAUAGAAUACCGAUUGCGAAGGCAGAUCACUAAUAAUUCACUGACGCUGAGGGACGAAAGCGUAGGUAGCGAACAGG